rnacentral:rRNA from 1 species
CAGACGGCUCAGUAACACGUACAUAAUUUGCCCUUAGGUGGAGGAUACCCUCGGGAAACUGAGAAUAAUACUCCAUAGAUCUAGACUGCUGGAAUGCUUUUAGAUCGAAAGAUUUAUCGCCUAAGGAUAAGUCUGCGGACUAUCAGGUUGUAGUUAGGGUAAAUACCUGACUAGCCUACGACGGAUACGGGUAGUGAGAGCUUUAGCCCGGAGAUGAUAUCUGAGACACGAUAUCAGGCCCUACGGGGCGCAGCAGGCGCGAAAACUUCGCACUGUGCGAAAGCACGACGAGGGAAUCCCAAGUGCUGGCUCGUAAGAGUCAGCUGUUUCUCUGUCUAAAAAACAGGGAGAGUAAGAGCUGGGUAAGACGGGUGCCAGCCGCCGCGGUAAUACCUGCAGCUCAAGUAGUGGCCGCUAUUAUUGGGCCUAAAACGUCCGUAGCCGGUUCUAUAAAUGCCUGGGUAAAUCGUACGGCUUAACCGCACGAAUUCCGGGUAGACUGUUCAACUUGGGACCGGGAGAGGCUAGAGGUACUCCUGGGGUAGAGGUGAAAUUCUGUAAUCCUAGGGGGACCACCAGUGGCGAAGGCGUCUAGCUAGAACGGGUCUGACGGUGAGGGACGAAGCCCUGGGGAGCAAACG